rnacentral:lncRNA from 1 species
GUUUCUCUCUCAAACACGCUGUCAAACAGCAGGUGAAUCCCAUUUAACCCGCGCGCGCGGGCCUCCUCUUGCUCCGUACGCGUAACAAACUCCAUGGAUCCCUGCCCUUCGUUUACCCGCCAUCUCGUAUCCCAAGCGAACUCCCAUCUUCCCGCCGCGAUCCACCACUCGCAGUCGGGCGCGCCACGGAGCCCCUGCAGACGGCUCAAACCCUAGCACCGAUCUCUCUACUGCCCCUUGCCGCCGCAGAUCGAUCCAAUCUACUACCCCUCACCCAGGCUCUUCGUCUCCAUAUAAGUCAGCCCACUCCUCCUCCUCUCCACCCCACAAGCAAAGCGUAGCGUAGCCAAGCCAAGCCCCCCACAAGGCCAGCACCGUGGACGACACCAUGUCCGUGUCCGUGUCCAUGGCCAGUGUCUUUGCGGAGCCCAAGGUCUCGGAUGACCGGACGCCCGUGGAGGUGGCGAN